rnacentral:rRNA from 1 species
CAAAAGCACAUGGGGCGCAGCCUGAGGCAGCACGCCGCGUGAGUGAUGAAGGUCUUCGGAUCGUAAAACUCUGUUAUUAGGGAAGAACAUAUGUGUAAGUAACUGUGCACCUCUUGACGGUACCUAAUCAGAAAGCCACGGCUAACUACGUGCCAGCAGCCGCGGUAAUACUUAGGUGGCAAGCGUUAUCCGGAAUUAUUGGGCGUAAAGCGCGCGUAGGCGGUUUUUUAAGUCUGAUGUGAAAGCCCACGGCUCAACCGUGGAGGGUCAUUGGAAACUGGAAAACUUGAGUGCAGAAGAGGAAAGUGGAAUUCCAUGUGUAGCGGUGAAAUGCGCAAAGAUAUGGAGGAACACCAGUGGCGAAGGCGACUUUCUGGUCUGUAACUGACGCUGAUGUGCGAAAGCGUGGGGAUCAAACAGGAUUAAAUACCCUGGUAGUCCACGCCGUAAACGAUGACUGCUAAGUGUUAGGGGGUUUCCGCCCCUUACUGCUGCGGCUAACGCAUUAAGCACUCCGCCUGGGGAGUACUACCGCGAGGUUGAAACUCAAAUGAAUUGACGG